CCUGAGUUCAGGAAAGAGACAUUAUAUCAUACUCAUCCCAAAAACUCAGUAGUUUGUUGCUGAGACAUUGUUAUCCCUUUGGAAGUCAGGAUUGCCAGUUCAGCGCUUGGGAAGUCAUUUAAUUUCUCCAGACAGUAGAUACAAAAGAAAGACACUUAGAAGGAGCCAGCGGUGUGUCUGUCAUCAGCCUGAAAGCUGGGAUUGUAGACCCCAAGUUGCAGACAGAGUACGGCGUGUGAUUAAGGGAAUGUCCUGCCUCUUUGAUGUGAGUCCAAGGCAGAGGAGUUCCACCAGAGAAAAAGGUGGGAGCUCAGGGGCUUGCCUUGAAUAGGCAACAAAAUCAGAUGAAUAGCUGAAAGUAGCUAACUUUGGCAGAAGACAUGGUACAAAAAGGCCUUCAUCACAGCACGGCAAAAUGCACCACAUAGAAGGCCUACCUCUUUAUAAAGACACAAGCUCAGCUGAUGUGCAUGAUUCUGGCAACUGACACAGAAAGAAUGUUUGUCCUUAAGCUGAAAUUUGAAACAAAUGUUCACUCUUUUCUCCAAGGCACACUCAGGAAAGAUAUUGUGAUCUUUCUUUCCAUGUAUAAGGAAAAGGAAGCAUACAAACAGAAUGAUGUUUGUCCCAAGCCCACAUAACAGUCAGUAUCAGGAAGACAAUAAAAAUAUAUGUGCCUCUGGCUCCCAGAAUACUGGAAUAUUUGGAAAAUAACAAGGUGAAGCUUGCCACCUAUUUCCUUUCUGUGAGUCAAAAAUAGAAAAUGCAAAAUUAUGACAUAGACUCCAUUCUAAUAAUACAAACACCAACUCUAUAUUUUAUGCUUAUAUAAAAAUUAAACAUUAAAUUUAAAUAUUUAAAUUCCCUCUAUGGAUUGCCAUGUGAAUAAUAUAUUUAAAGGUGCUAAUGCAUGAUAUAAGCAUAAUAAUUACCUAAUAAUUAAUAUCACAAAUUCUUGUUUAUUUUAUGAUCAGAUCCUUCUAGUGGCCAUUUUGGCUAUUGUGUGAAUAUCUUUAAUAUAACAAAUAGUUUUAAUAAGCCAUUUAUUGUCAUAUAAUUAUUCAUAAUAAAGAAUCACUGAGUAUUUAACUAUGUAUCAGAAAAUGUAAUGAAUACAAAUCUACCCUCACUUGGCCCUGAAAUUUCUUGAAAUCGAAAUGUCUUCAAAGUUACU
rnacentral:lncRNA from 1 species